UCGAGAAUCUUCGGCAAUGGGGGCAACCCCGACCGAGCGACGCCGCGUGCGGGAUGAAGGCCUUCGGGUUGUAAACCGCUGUCAGAGGGGAGGAAAUGCUAGAGGGUUCUCUCUCUAGUUUGACCUAGCCUCAGAGGAAGGACGGGCUAAGUUCGUGCCAGCAGCCGCGGUAAGACGAACCGUCCAAACGUUAUUCGGAAUCACUGGGCUUAAAGGGUGCGUAGGCAGUCCGGGAAGUUGGGUGUGAAAGCCCUCAGCUCAACUGAGGAAUUGCGCCCAAAACUGCCGGGCUUGAGGGAGACAUAGGUGAGCGGAACCUAGGGUGGAGCGGUGAAAUGCGUUGAGAUCCUAGGGAACACCAGUAGCGAAAGCGGCUCACUGGGUCUUUUCUGACGCUGAGUGCACGAAAGCUAGGGGAGCGAAGAGGA
rnacentral:rRNA from 1 species